GGGGUUGUAGCUCAGUUGGAAGAGCGCCGGCUCGGCAGGCCGGAGGCCCGGGGUUCGAUUCCCCGCUUCUCCAC
rnacentral:tRNA from 1 species